rnacentral:rRNA from 1 species
CUGCCCCUGACUCGGGAAUAACCUCGGGAAAUCGUGGCUAAUACCGGAUAUGACGCCCUGCCGCAUGGUGGGGUGUGGAAAGACUGUGUCGGUUGGGGAUGGGCUCGCGGCCUAUCAGCUUGUUGGUGGGGUGNGACCAACCAAGGCGACGACGGGUAGCCGGCCUGAGAGGGUGACCGGCCACACUGGGACUGAGACACGGCCCAGACUCCUACGGGAGGCAGCAGUGGGGAAUAUUGCACAAUGGGCGCAAGCCUGAUGCAGCGACGCCGCGUGAGGGAUGACGGCCUUCGGGAUGUAAACCUCUUUCAGCAGGGGAGAAGGCCUUCGGGUUGACGGUACCACAGAAGAAGCGCGUG